GAAACACACAAAAGAGAAAACUAGACAGACAAACACAGACGAUAAAGCCAACGUAGACUAAACAAGAGACACAAGUUGGUGAACAACUAACAGCUGGCCACCACUUCCACCCAGUGACUGUUUUUGUGGCUCUUUCCAGCCUGUCACACAGCCAGACUCCUCGGCCAUGGAGAAGUGCCCAGAAGUGAUGUGUGCUGUUCACAUCUGAUUACCACCAGGGCAAUAACGGAUAAUCCACCGCUACUAAUUUUCUACAACAUUUAUGCUAAUUGUUCCUGUUUGCUCUCUGACUUUG